rnacentral:rRNA from 1 species
GACGAACGCUGGCGGCGUGCUUAACACAUGCAAGUCGAACGGAAAGGCCCUGCUUUUGUGGGGUGCUCGAGUGGCGAACGGGUGAGUAACACGUGAGUAACCUGCCCUUGACUUUGGGAUAACUUCAGGAAACUGGGGCUAAUACCGGAUAUGAGCUCCUGCUGCAUGGUGUGGGUUGGAAAGUUUCGGCGGUUGGGGAUGGACUGGAGGCUUAUCAGCUGGUUGGUGGGGUAGUGGCGUACCAAGGGUUUGACGGGUAGCCUGCCUGAGAGGGUGGCCGGCGACAUGGGGACUGAGAUACGGCGCAGACGCCUACGGGAGGCAGCAGUGGGGAGCAUGACGCAGUGGGGGGAAGCGUGAGGCAGCAACGCCGCGUGCGGGAAGACGGCUUUCGGGUUAUAAACCGCUUUCGCCUGUGACGAAGCGUGAGUGACGGUACUGGGUAAAGAAGCACCGGCUAACUACGUG